UGAUACAAAACGCCAGCUGGAAUGCGGCGUUUCAGAAAGACAUCGCUGAAGGAUGCGGCUGCGGCCGAUUAGGUAGACGGUGGGGUAACGGCCCACCGUGCCAGUAAUCGGUACGGGUGAUGAGAGUCAGAGCCCGGAGACGGAAUCUGAGACAAGAUUCCGGGCCCUACGGGGCGCAGCAGGCGCGAAACCUUUACACUGCACGGAAGUGCGAUAGGGGAAUCCCAAGUGCGAGGGCAUAUUAGCCCUCGCUUUUCUCGACUGUAAGGUGGUCGACGAAUAAGAGCUGGGCAAGACCGGUGCCAGCCGCCGCGGUAAUACCGGCAGCUCAAGUGAUGUCCCAUAUUAUUGGGCCUAAAGCGUCCGUAGCUGGCCGACCAAGUCUACCGGGAAAUCCACCCGCCCAACGGGUGGGCGUCCGGUAGAAACUGGCCGGCUUGGAACCGGAAGGCUCAGAGAGUACGUCCGGGGUAGGAGUGAAAUCCCGUAAUCCCGGACGGACUACCGAUGGCGAAAGCACUCUGAGAAGACGGCUUCGACAGUGAGGGACGAAAGCUCGGGUCUCAAACCGGAUUAGAUACCCCGGUAGUC
rnacentral:rRNA from 1 species